rnacentral:rRNA from 1 species
UACGUAGGGGGGCAAGCGUUGUCCGGAAUCAUUGGGCGUAAAGCGCGUGUAGGCGGCCCAGUAAGUCCGCUCUGAAAGCCCGGGGCUUAACCCCGGGAGGCGGGUGGAUACUGCUGGGCUCGAGUCCGGAAGAGGCGAGUGGAAUUCCUGGUGUAGCGGUGAAAUGCGUAGAUAUCGGGAGGAACACCAGUGGCGAAGGCGACUUCCUGGCCUGUUCUUGACGCUGAGGCGCGAAAGCUGAGGGUAGCAAACGGGG